rfam:Puccinia sorghi strain RO10H11247 Scaffold_806, whole genome shotgun sequence.
GACUUGGUAGCCUAGUUGGUAAAGGCAGCACUUCUAGUAUAAUUUCUUAGGCUCUAGCUAAGUUCACUGGUUCAACUCCUGCCCAAGUUA